rnacentral:rRNA from 1 species
CAAGCGCAGUAAGGGCAAAUGGUGGACACCUUGGUAGCUGAAAGCGAUGAAGGACGUGGCUAGCUGCGAUAAGCCUCGGGGAGCCGCUAAGCAGGCUUUGAUCCGUGGAUUUCUGAAUGGGAGUGCCCCCUAUGGUGAAGCCAUAGGAGUUCGCACUGAAACUAAAGUAGGUGCGUUCAGCGAACCCGGCGAAGUGAAACAUCUCAGUAACCGGAGGAAAAGAAAUCAAAAGAGAUUCCCUUAGUAGUGGCGAGCGAAACGGGAAGAGCCUAAACCAGCAGAAUGUAAGACUGCAUUCGUUGUUCUGUUGGGGUUGUAAGUCAGUGUCAUCUCACCGAUGCAGGGGUGGGCAGGGUUAAAAGUGACGUCUAGUGGAACAGUCCGCAAAGUCUCUGGAAAGGACGACCGCAGAGGGUGAUAGUCCCGUACACGAAAGGCCGAUCUACCCUGGAUGCUGACUUGAGUAGCGCCGGACACGUGAAAUCCGACGUGAAUCUGGGAGGACCACCUCCUAAGGCUAAAUAUUCUCAGCUGACCGAUAGUGAACUAGUACCGCGAGGGAAAGGUGAAAAGCACCCCGGGAGGGGAGUGAAAUAGAACUUGAAACCAUUUGCUUACAGACAGUGGGAGCACCCACAAAUCGCCUUUGGGCAUUUAAUCGGGUGUGACCGCAUGCCUAUUGUAGUAUGAGCCGGCGAGUUACGGUAUGUGGCAAGGUUAAGCCGAUAGAGGUGUAGCCGAAGCGAAAGCGAGUCUGAAUAGGGCAAAUAGUCACAUGUCGUAGACCCGAAGCCAAGUGAACUAGCCAUGGGCAGGUUGAAGUGUACUUGACCGUACAUGAAGGACCGAACCCACUAGCGUUGAAAAGCUAGGGGAUGACCUGUGGUUAGGGGCGAAAAACCAAUCGAACUUGGUGAUAUCUGGCUCUCCCCGAAAUAGCUUUAGGGCUAGCCUCGUGUUAUAGACUGUUGGGGGUAGAGCACUGAUCGGGGAAGGGGGGCAACUCUCGACCCUAAGCAAACUCCGAAUACCAGCAGAUCGUUUCACGGGAGUCAGGGCGUGGGUGAUAACGUCCACGCUCGAGAGGGAAACAACCCAGACCGCCAGCUAAGGUCCCCAAAUCCAUGCUAAGUGGGAAAGGAAGUGUUGUUGUCGAGACAGCUGGGAGGUUGGCUUAGAAGCAGCCAUCCUUUAAAGAGUGCGUAAUAGCUCACCAGUCUAACGGCGAUGCGCCGAAAAUUUAACGGGGCUAAGCGUGGUACCGAAGCUGCGGGAUGCCGUUCUUUCGAGCGGUAUUGGUAGGGGAGCAUUCCGUUAACGGUUGAAGCUGAGCUGGAAGGCUUGGUGGACGAGACGGAAGAGAGAAUGCCGGCAUGAGUAGCGCGAGCAAUGUGAGAAUCAUUGCCACCGAAUGCCUAAGGUUUCCUGGGGAAGGCUUGUCCUCCCAGGGUUAGGCGGAACCUAAGUUGAACCCGAAAGGGGUAGGCGAUGGACAGCAGGUUAAUAUUCCUGCGCCUCUAAUCUUGCAUUUGAGCAAAGGGGGGACCCCGAAGGGCCCUCUCCGCACACUGACGGAAUAGUGUGUCCAAGCACCAAGGUAGGGAGAAUAGGCAAAUCCGUUCUCUCGUUAAGUCGAGGUGUGAUGGCGAGCCCGCUUUAGGGCGAAGGGAGAAGGGGUCAUCGGGCGAGAAAAUCCUCUAGCGAGCAAGGAAGAGUCCGUACCGCAAACCGACACAGGUAGGCGAGUUGAGUAUACUAAGGUGGACGAGUGAAAUUCAGUUAAGGAACUCGGCAAAAUGACCCCGUAACUUCGGGAUAAGGGGUGCCAUCUUCGGAUGGCCGCAGAGAAUCGGCCUGAGCGACUGUUUAGCAAAAACACAGGACUCUGCUAACUCGUAAGAGGAUGUAUAGAGUCUGAAACCUGCCCACUGCUGGAAGGUUAAGGGGAGCUGUUAACGCGGCGAACUGAAGCCCCAGUGAAGGGCGGCGGUAACUAUAACCGUCCUAAGGUAGCGAAAUUCCUUGUCAGGUAAGUUCUGACCCGCAUGAAAGGUCCAACGACUUGGGCGCUGUCUUGACUGAAUGCUCGGUGAAAUUGAAACACAGGUGUAAACGCCUGUGACCCGCGGCUGGACAAAAAGACCCCGUGGAGCUUUACUAUAGCUUGGCAUUGAGUUUUAGCAUUCGUUGUGUAGGAUAGGUGGGAGGCGAUGAAGCUGGGGCGCUAGCCUCGGUGGAGCCGUCCUUGGAAUACCACCCUGCGUGUGUUGAGGCUCUAACCAUCGGCCGUUAGCAGCGGUCGUGGGACAGUGUUAGGUGGGUAGUUUGACUGGGGCGGUCGCCUCCUAAAGAGUAACGGAGGCGCGCAAAGGUCUCUUCAGGCUGGUUGGUGAUCAGCCAUUGAGUGUAAGGGUAUAAAGAGGCUUGACUGCGAGACCUACAAGUCGAGCAGGUGCGAAAGCAGGUCCUAGUGACCCAGUGGCACUUUGUGGAAGGGCCACUGCUCAUCGGACAAAAGUUACCCCGGGGAUAACAGGCUAGU